rnacentral:rRNA from 1 species
UACAGAGGGUGCGGGCGUUAAUCGGAAUUACUGGGCGUAAAGCGCGCGUAGGCGGCUUUGCAAGUCGGGUGUGAAAUCCCCAGGCUUAACCUGGGAACUGCAUUCGAGACUGCAUUGCUAGAGUAUGGGAGAGGGAAGUGGAAUUUCCGGUGUAGCGGUGAAAUGCGUAGAUAUCAGAAGGAACAUCAGUGGCGAAGGCAGCGCUCUGGGCCGGUACUGACGCUGAGGAGCGAAAGCGUGGGGAGCAAACAGG